rnacentral:rRNA from 1 species
AUUGAACGCUGGCGGCAUGCUUUACACAUGCAAGUCGAACGGUAACAGGGAGCUUGCUCCGCUGACGAGUGGCGAACGGGUGAGUAAUGCAUCGGAACGUGCCGUGUAAUGGGGGAUAACGUAGCGAAAGUUACGCUAAUACCGCAUACGCCCUGAGGGGGAAAGUGGGGGACCGCAAGGCCUCACGUUAUACGAGCGGCCGAUGUCGGAUUAGCUAGUUGGUGGGGUAAAGGCCUACCAAGGCGACGAUCCGUAGCGGGUCUGAGAGGAUGAUCCGCCACACUGGGACUGAGACACGGCCCAGACUCCUACGGGAGGCAGCAGUGGGGAAUUUUGGACAAUGGGGGCAAGCCUGAU